AUGUCCCCAGCCCUGCAGCUUCUGUGCGCUCUGCUGGUCGAUUUAACAGGUAUCCUGGCGGUUCCAGUCCUCAAUCAGACUCUAUUUUCGGGUCCUGUCUCCGCGGGAUAGACCGCCCGCUUAGAGUGUCGGAUGGAGAAGGGAAAGGUUUCAAGUUACGGCGUGUUGUGGGAUCGCCAGCGUCCGGGGGAGAGACCGCAGUGGGUGAUUUCACAUACAGCUGGUAAUAAUAUUUAUAGGGGAACCGGUGUCACUGACCCUUUCCAAACGUCCAGAGACACCUCUGCCAACAGUUAUAUCCUGACCAUCAGCAGUCUGGAGCCCGGCGAUUCCGCCGUCUAUUACUGCCGGUUUGGGGAGAAUAACGCGCGGAGGCCCUCGGUUCUUUUGCUCCCUCCUUCCCUACAAGAGACUGGUUCAGGAUCGGCCACGUUAUCCUGUCUGGUGAGCGGAUUUAAGCCAGGUUUCGUUGCGCUGCGCUGGACCGUGGAUGGAAUCGAGACGGAGAGUGGGGUGACAACAAGCGCCAUGUCCCUGGACACUGACCAGACCUACAGGCUGAGCAGUUACCUGCGGGUAUCUGCUGCUGCCUGGGAAAAGGGCUCGAGCUAUUCCUGCAGCGUGAGCCACAGCUCGCUGAGCUCGCCGCUGCGCAACACCAUCUCUUUGUCCGCCUGUGCACAGUGA